GUUGACCAUCAAUACAUUCGUAAUCAGACCAAAUCCAAGAGCUAUACGGAUUGUUGCCAUGUGUAUAGCUCUUGGAUUUGGUCUGAUUACGAAUGUAUUGAUGGUUGAC